rnacentral:rRNA from 1 species
CCUUCGGGCUUAGUGGCGCACGGGUGCGUAACACGUGGGAAUCUGCCCUCAGGUACGGAAUAACUCAGGGAAACUUGAGCUAAUACCGUAUGAUGUCUUCGGACCAAAGAUUUAUCGCCUGAGGAUGAGCCCGCGUCGGAUUAGCUAGUUGGUGGGGUAAAGGCCUACCAAGGCGACGAUCCGUAGCUGGUCUGAGAGGAUGAUCAGCCACACUGGGACUGAGACACGGCCCAGACUCCUACGGGAGGCAGCAGUGGGGAAUAUUGGACAAUGGGCGAAAGCCUGAUCCAGCAAUGCCGCGUGAGUGAAGAAGGCCUUCGGGUUGUAAAGCUCUUUUACCCGGGAAGAUAAUGACUGUACCGGGAGAAUAAGCCCCGGCUAACUCCGUGCCAGCAGCCGCGGUAAUACGGAGGGGGCUAGCGUUGUUCGGAAUUACUGGGCGUAAAGCGCACGUAGGCGGCUUUACAAGUCAGGGGUGAAAGCCCGCGGCUCAACCGCGGAAUUGCCCUUGAGACUGUAUCGCUUGAACACGGGAGAGGUGAGUGGAAUUCCGAGUGUAGAGGUGAAAUUCGUAGAUAUUCGGAAGAACACCAGUGGCGAAGGCGGCUCACUGGACCGUAGUUGACGCUGAGGUGCGAAAGCGUGGGGAUCAAACAGG